ACUGUGGAGUGUCAAACAAACGUCGGUAGCUUUGGCGAAGACGGACACGUUGAAGCAGUAA
rnacentral:ncRNA from 1 species